rnacentral:lncRNA from 1 species
GGGCUAGAAAUACGGAACAUUUAUGAUCAAGCGAUUUAAGAUGGGGAGAUGAAGAGUUCACCGGUGAAAAAAAUAGAUUACGAAUAGACACAUGGUGCAACUCUGUAACCCAGACCUGUCUGAGACAAUGAUGAAAAGAACCAUAACUUCAUUACAAGAAAAUCGAGUAUUAACAGCGCCGGGAAAACACUAUGUAACGAUACUGACGGUGGUUUUCGGCGGCUACCUGCGUCUUAAAUCUGAAGCCGCCAGCUUCCUCAUUCUCUCAUCUUUGUUCAAAUAGAGAGAGAGAGAGAGAGAGGGAGAGGGAGAGAGAGAGAGAGAGAGAGAGAGAGAGAGAGAGAGAGAGAGGUCGUAUGGUGGUGCUUGUGAUUCUGGGACGGCGAACGAACGAACAUCAUGGGGGUAUUUAUGCUGGGAUGGCGAACGAACGGAGGUCGUGUGGUGGUGGAGGUGAUGGUGAGCCUUGCUUCUUCUUCAU